AUACGGCCAUAUCACGUUGAAACACCUGUUCCUGUACGAUCACGGAAGUUAAGCAACGUCGAGCCUGGUCAUUACCAAGAUUGGGAAUACCAGGUACUGUAAG